AGUGAACGCUGGCGGUAGGCCUAACACAUGCAAGUCGAACGGCAGCACGGGAGAGCUUGCUCUCUGGGUGGCGAGUGGCGGACGGGUGAGGAAUACAUCGGAAUCUACUCUGUCGUGGGGGAUAACGUGGGGAAACUUACGCUAAUACCGCAUAUGACCUACGGGUGAAAGCAGGGGACCUUCGGGCCUUGCGCGAUUGAAUGAGCCGAUGUCGGAUUAGCUAGUUGGCGGGGUAAAGGCCCACCAAGGCGACGAUCCGUAGCUGGUCUGGGAGGAGGAUCAGCCACACGGGAACGGAGACACGGUCAAGACUCCUACGGGAGGCAGCAGUGGGGAAUAUUGGACAAUGGGCGCAAGCCUGAUCCAGCCAUACCGCGUGGGUGAAGAAGGCCUUCGGGUUGUAAAGCCCUUUUGUUGGGAAAGAAAUCCAGCUGGCUAAUACCCGGUUGGGAUGACGGUACCCAAAGAAUAAGCACCGGCUAACUUCGUGCCAGCCGCCGCGGUAA
rnacentral:rRNA from 1 species